rnacentral:rRNA from 1 species
GACGAACGCUGGCGGCGUGCUUAACACAUGCAAGUCGUACGGUAAGGCCUUUCGGGGUACCCGAGUGGCGAACGGGUGAGUAACACGUGGGUGAUCUGCCCUGCACUUCGGGAUAAGCCCGGGAAACUGGGUCUAAUACCGGAUAGGACUGCGCGGUGCAUGCCGUGUGGUGGAAAGAUUUAUCGGUGCAGGAUGGGCCCGCGGCCUAUCAGCUUGUUGGUGGGGUAAUGGCCUACCAAGGCGACGACGGGUAGCCGGCCUGAGAGGGCGACCGGCCACACUGGGACUGAGACACGGCCCAGACUCCUACGGGAGGCAGCAGUGGGGAAUAUUGCACAAUGGGCGCAAGCCUGAUGCAGCGACGCCGCGUGAGGGAUGACGGCCUUCGGGUUGUAAACCUCUUUCAGCAGGGACGAAGCGUGAGUGACGGUACCUGCAGAAGAAGCACCGGCCAACUACGUG